AUGUCAAAGCUUCUGAACCUCACUCCUGUAAAGAAAUCCUCUGAUGUCAGUGCAUUAAGGCAGUUAUAUGAUGACUGUGAAAUUCAAAUCAGAAGCCCAGAGUCAUUGGGAGUGGUAUCGGACACCUAUGGCAGUAUGUUGUGCCCAAUAUUACUCCAGAUGAUGCCAGAUGACAUGGCUCUUGAAUACAGCCAUCACAGAGGGGAUGAUGAUGAAUGGAAUGUGCCUAAUGUGUUGAAGUUCCUGCAGAAAGAGGUUCAGAGCCGAGAGAGAACUUUACAAAUGGUGAAAUCAUACAACCAGAGAGAAAACCAGUCUGCUAACAAAACAUGCAGCAAAUCAUAUUCAGCCAAUGAUGUGAAAUCAAAGAAACCAAGCAUGCCAUCUGCAGCUGCACUACACAUUGCUGACGAGAAAAUGCAAAACUGUCUGUUCUGUGAUAGCACUGAACACAAAUCUGAAAAAUGUCCAGACCACCCAGUGUCAGCACGUAAGGAAAAACUGAAGAAGCUUGGCAGGUGCUUUGUGUGUCUGGGGACCAAACACAUCGCCAGGUUUUGCAGGUCAAAGUGCAGGUCAUGUGCCACAUGUGGAGGCAGGCAUCAUGCAGCCAUUUGUGAGAAAAUUGAAACAUCUCCACCUGCUGCAGCUGCCAACAUUGACACUGUUAUUUCCUCAGUAAUUCCCCAAGCAGAGAAAUGCAAACCUGACAUUGAGAACACUGUGCUGCUACAAACUGCCAAAGCAUGGGUUGUAGGACCCACCAGCAGGAAGAUGGUCCGCUGCUUGUUGGAUGGAGGCAGUCAGGGGAGUUUUGUGCAUGAGAAUGUGGUGAAGGCGCUGCAGCUACCUGUUACUAGACAAGGGACACUUACUCUUCACACAUUUGGCUCCUCUGCUCCAACAACGGUGAGUCGCAACAUAGUGAAGCUCAGUUUGGAGAAUGUAUGGGAUAAUCGGCAGGGAAUUGAAAUCGAGGCAGUUGUCACCCCCAAAGUGUGCACUGCGCUGAUGAAAGUGCCUGGUGAACAUAUACAAAUGGAAAUGAAAACCAGAGGUCUUCAACUAGCAGAUUGUGUUGGAGAUGAUAAACCUGAGCUUGCUGUGCUAAUCGGCUCUGAUUAUUACUGGCAGAUAGUAUCAGACAGAGUAGAGAGACUGACAAAGAGCCUAGUGGCACUGGAGAGCAUUUUCAGAUGGGCAGUGCAAGGCCCAGUAGCAGUGUCCAGCAUGACAGAGACAACCUGCAUGCAUAUUCAGAUCAGCGAGGAAGCACAUAUUGAUAAACAGCUGCAUACAUUCUGGGAGCUUGAGUCCCUGGGCAUCAUAAAUGAGAAAUCUGAGAGCCCAGAGGAUGUAGAAGCAUUGCAGCGGUUCGAGGAAACCUCCAUCUUCGAGGAUGGGCGUUACCAAGUGGAGUUGCCAUGGCGACAACAUCAUCCUCCACUUCAAGACAAUUACCGCAUCGCAAAAAAAAGAUUGGAGAGUUUGAAAAGGAAACUAAGCAAGGAUGUCACACUCUACAGCAGAUACAAUGAAGUUGUGGAGGACUAUUUAAACCAAGGAAUGGCUGAGGAUGUGCCAAGGGAGCAUGCAUCACCACCAGGCAGUCAGAUAUAUUACUUACCUCAUCACGCUGUAUUGAGAGAGGAUAAGGCAACAACUAAACUGCGGGUUGUGUUUGAUGCGUCAUCCCACGAAUACAGAAGUCCCUCACUUAAUGACUGUCUUUUAACAGGUCCCAAUCUGAAUCCCGAUCUGAUGAGUAUUUUGAUCAAAUUUAGACUGCAUGAAAUUGCAUAUAUGGCAGAUAUCAAGAAAGCAUUUCUGCAGAUAUCACUCUCAGAAAUAGAUCGGGACGCUGUAAGAUUUAUGUGGUUUACUGGACCACCAACAGAGGAGAAGGAUGUGACACUGCGCUUGCUCAGAAUGACGAGAGUGGUGUUUGGAGCUUCAUCAAGCCCAUUCUUACUUGCAGCCACCAUAAGGAAGCAUUUAAGAUAG
ensembl:lncRNA